rnacentral:lncRNA from 1 species
AUUGAUGACGUACCUAUUGCUGAGCUCGAUUGGGAUUAUGGCCGUAGACGUAGAUGUGGUCGUGCACGAGGACGUGGCCGAGGACGUCGAGGGAGAGGAAGAUCGAGAGACUGAUUGUAUCUUGUUGAUUCAGAUCGCAUACUUUGUAUAAUAUUAUAUAUUACUUUAUUUAGUUUAUAUUUGUAUAUUUGUUUGUGUUUUUAUUGAUAUUUUUAUCCGGUUGAUUUAUCUUGUUAUUCCACUUGUCUUGUUGUGUUUCUUGUUGAAAUAUUUGUUCUCGUAAAAAUUCUUGCCUCAAACUUGUUCAAAUUGUUUUUAAAAUCGAGC